AUGGUGAUUAAAGCCCAGCAAAAUGGCUUGUUCAAAGGGUUAGCGUCUGAUUUGAUUCCAAAUGGUGUGGCUAUCUUGCAAUAUGCGGAUGACACGAUCCUAUGCUUCGAGGAUAAUCCUAGGAAUGCUCUUAAUAUUAAGCUGAUGUUAUAUCUUUUUGAAGUCAUGUCUGGGUUGAAAAUCAAUUUUAUGAAAAGUGAAAUCUUUUCGAUUCGUGCUGAUGAUACUACUAUGCAAAAAUAUGCUGAGAUGUUUAAUUGCCAGAUAGGUGACUUCCCUAUCAAAUACCUAGGCAUGCCUGUGAGCCAUGCUGGUUUGAAGUGUAGUGAUUGGAUCUUUGUAGAUGGCAAAUUCAUCGAUCAUUGUGAAACCUGGAUUAGUGAAGUUCUAUCCAUGGGGGAAAGGCUGAUCAAAGUGAACACUGUGCUGUCUCAUAUUCCUACUUUUUACAUGUCUAUGUUUCUUUUGAACAAGACUACCUUGGAGAAGUGGGACAAACCCAGAGGAAAAUUUUUCCGGCAUAGCAAAGGGAAAAAGGAGGCUACCAUAUGGUUAAAUGGAGCCGUAUAUGUCAAUCCAAAAAGAAAGGGGGUUGGGUGUUAA
rnacentral:rRNA from 1 species